rnacentral:rRNA from 1 species
GAUGAACGCUGGCGGCGUGCCUAAUACAUGCAAGUCGAGCGAACAGACGAGGAGCUUGCUCCUCUGACGUUAGCGGCGGACGGGUGAGUAACACGUGGAUAACCUACCUAUAAGACUGGGAUAACUUCGGGAAACCGGAGCUAAUACCGGAUAAUAUAUUGAACCGCAUGGUUCAAUAGUGAAAGACGGUUUUGCUGUCACUUAUAGAUGGAUCCGCGCCGCAUUAGCUAGUUGGUAAGGUAACGGCUUACCAAGGCAACGAUGCGUAGCCGACCUGAGAGGGUUGUCCGCCACACUGGAACUGAGACACGGUCCAGACUCCUACGGGAGGUAGCAGUAGGGAAUCUUCCGCAAUGGGCGAAAGCCUGACGGAGCAACGCCGCGUGAGUGAUGAAGGUCUUCGGAUCGUAAAACUCUGUUAUUAGGGAAGAACAAAUGUGUAAGUAACUAUGCACGUCUUGACGGUACCUAAUCAGAAAGCCACGGCUAACUACGUG